rnacentral:lncRNA from 1 species
CAUGGAUUUUAUCAUUAGCCUCAUUAUCCGGGCCUAUUCAUUGAAUGUCACUCGGUUGACGUCGCUCCUAAGUCAUUGGCAUAUUCCUAAGAUCAGGCCAAAAAUCCUCAUCCCGCAGAUGACUUUCACUCUUUUCCCUCUACGAAAUGACUCCAUAAAAAAAGCUGUAUGAGCGAGAAAAACCCCUUUUCAUCUUCAUAAAAGGAUAUUACUUUAAAGCAUAAAAUCAUAUUCUAGCCAUACAAGGAAUAAAAUACACUUUGGCCCAUAAUUUUGCAUUACAGAAAUUAGAUAAUUAAAACAUAACCAAAAUGCCUAUAUAUCCUGCUUAUGACUAAAGACAAGUAUUUUUGUUAGGCUUGCUAUGAUGUUUUGAUAGGUUUAUAUUUAUUAACCACAUUUUUUUUAAUCUUAUAUGCUAUACAUAUUAAUAUAACUUGAGGUUGCUAUCACUAGAGUCCAGAUUUAUACUCACAAAAAAAAUCCUCAAAUACGCCAUAUAAUAUGAACUAAUAAAACCUGAAAUAUGCAAUAUUAUAUCCACUUUAAAAAAUCCUCAAAUAUGCCAUAUGAUAUGCAUUAUGUAAAACUGAAAUAUGCAAUGUUGUGUGCAGUAAAAAAAGCCUCAAAUCACUAUACCAAUCACUAAAUAUCAUUACGGUCCAACGCAUCCUAGGUUUAAUAGUACUGCCAUUAAUUUGUCGCAAUUUUUCCUUGAAUACAUUUCCAUUGAACCUAGGACUUUUUCUUAGCCCAAUCGUCUUUUAAAAUGCACAAUGUACAAUUUUAGGAUUAGGUAGUAGGAAUUGGGUACGAUGAGUUUCAGUUUCCACAAUGGUUAGGUGCCAAACCCUGACUUUAUGCUUGAGCAAUGCCAAAAAUCACAACCAGACAACAAUGCUUCUAGUGUUAAAUUUUGAUAAAAGGAACCUUUUCAUUUUCACAGGAAUUGUUACAUGGAAAAUUUUUAGCCUAGUCUGAAAAUGUUAAAAGAAGCCUCACUUUUCCAAUCUUCAGGGUGGAGCAUUUCUUUCUUGCAAAACUGUUUAAUAAUUGGAAUAUAUAUUUUUGAAAUUGAACAUGAUAAAAUGAAAAGAAGAAUAAUAAUCGGUAAACAAGGAAAGAUGUUUAAUCAAGACAAAUUAAAUAAACUAGGGUUUUAAACAAUGACUUUAAUUUACAAAGGAGGACAUUUUAUAAUGCUUACAGAAAGCACAAUCUGGUGAAAGUUGUCAGUCUCAUUGUCUAUGUAAAUUUUUUUAUUUUUAAAAAAUGUGAUAAAGAGAGCAUGGCGACGUCUUAAAUGCAUGGCUCCCGACCCAGCGUCUGCACUCUCGCCAUGCUUUUCGGGAUAUUAACCCUUCUCGUGGUCUGUGUAUCCUGCAAAGAUUGGACGUAUAACCACGAGGAUUCUCUUUCUCUUUGGAAAUUCUACCAAGCGGCCGGUUUCGCACCUGAAGCACCUCUGUGGGGCAUAGACGAAAGGGGACUCUACAUGCUAGUACCUGGAAUACCCUAUUUUGAAAAACCUACAAAAAUCCUGAAGAUGAAAAAGAAGAAAUGGAAGAAGCCAAAGAAAAAUU